UACGUAGGUGGCGAGCGUUGUCCGGAAUUACUGGGCGUAAAGCGUGCGCAGGCGGUUUGCUAAGACAGGUGUGAAAUCCCCGGGCUUAACCUGGGAACUGCGCUUGUGACUGGCAGGCUAGAGUACGGUAGAGGGGGGUGGAAUUCCUGGUGUAGCAGUGAAAUGCGUAGAUAUCAGGAGGAACACCGAUGGCGAAGGCAGCCCCCUGGGCCUGUACUGACGCUCAUGCACGAAAGCGUGGGGAGCAAACAGGAUUAGAUACCCCGGUAGU
rnacentral:rRNA from 1 species